ensembl:snoRNA U3 Small nucleolar RNA U3
AUUAUUUAUUUUUUGAGACCCUAAAAAUAGUAUUGUUUCAGAUGUAACUUUUCUCAGUGUUUCCCAAACCACGAUGAAGAGCUUUGAUGCUCUUUUCUGCGCGUGACUCAGAUGAAGAGUAAUGAUUCAUUUCAUAUGCUGUACAUCACUGAUGAACGUGUCUUAUUCCAUCUCUGUAGUAAGGAGGAAAGGGGUAUGAUCAGAGUGAC